AUCAUUCCAAUUUGUAUCAGUGUCUCCAUUUUCAGGAUUAAAGCACUUAAAGUUUGUGAGGCACUACAAUGCUCUCAAGUACAUGUGCUUUUCCAUAAUUUUCUAAUUUGUAUGUCUGUGCUAGUAUUAUCUGCCCAAACAAAUACAAUCCAGGCCUUUAUUUUGGAGCCUACCCUGUUAUGGAAAGAAUACAAGUUAUCUGUCAGAAGCUACACCUCUCCUUGUUGCUGUUUAAAUAUUCUUACCAUCGGACAUGAGAUUAUAGAGUAGAGGCCCAUUUGCUCAGACUAAUGAAAGUCUCAUAGAUCAAUAUUUUCCUUUCUAGUCCCCUGACCCUCAGUUUCCCCCAUUUGUAAACAUAUGAGGUAUGAGGACAUACCGCAAAUGGUCACCGUUAGGUACAGAUGCUGAAAUAGAUCUUAACUAGUUUUCUAACACAGACACUGUAAGUGUUUGUGUUAACGGAUGAUUAUUUGCCUCUGAUUCCUUCCAUUCUAUGGGAAAGCCUGUCUACACUGAAGAUUCACAUUUCUUAAACACCAUUUCCUUCACAUCACUCCCUCUCCUAUGAAACCCAGCAUAGACAGCUCUCCACUAUCUACAGAGUGAAGGUUAGACUUCUUAGUCUGAUACUGAAAACUCAUAACCAGACACCCCCGCCUCACUACAAGCUGAUGGUCCACAAUUCUGUAACAAACACUCCCAGACAAGAAGCUGGAGUCCCCUCUGUGCUUUGUUCCCUUGUCCAGGGAAUUUUACCUGCACCAAGCGCCCUUCUCUCCCUCACUUUUAGGUCAACAUUCUCAAUAUCCUUCAGACAUUAUGUAACUCCACUGAAAAAAGAAAGCCACCAAAGUGGAACUCUUGUUGUCUUCACAACCUCAAAUAGACAAAUCUGUUUGUGCCUGCUUUUCCCCUCUUUCCUCUGAUCAGAGUGGAGGAAAUACCACUAUUUUUAUUAAAGACCAAGGUCUUCAGCCAUGCUCAGGAUCCCCUCUUGCCUUCCCCAGACCUCUCUCCCCAAACUUCAGUCUUCUGGCCCCUCACUCUUCCCUGAGUAAUUCUAACAUUCAAACAUGUUCCAGUACAUUCCAACUGGAAUGGGGAAAGCACCUCACCUAAUUCAUUUAACCCUUGGCUUGCUUCUCUCCUCUUCCAAUAAGUCUGCCUCCAUCCUUCAGUCUAACCAAAUUUCCAUCCAUCUUUCCACCAAUAUUGUUCUGGCUAAAGUCACCAAUAACCUUGAUCUUGCCAAACUUCACGCAUCCUUCUUUGACAUCCUCGUACCUUUUGACAGUUGUCUGUUCCAUCUCUCUUGGUUUCCAUAUCUCUAUACUUCCAGCUUUCUCUCUACUUGGCUGGAGACUUUUCUCAGUCUCCCUUUUUCCUUCUCUCUCAGUUCUAAAUAUUUGGUUAGGGCUUGGGCCUGGGCCUCCUCUUUCUCUACGUUCUGCAAUAUAUCUUGAACAUAUUUACUUCUCUGCAUCUCCAUGGAAAUCAGCCCUUUUCAGGCCAUCGUCCUGGCUAGCCUAGUCCACUGGAACAGCCUCCUAACUGGGCUCUAUCUUGUGUCUCUUCCAUUAGCAGCACAGCAAGAGUGACCCUAUUAAAGAUCAAUCAGUUCACUUCACUCUCCUUUGUGAUACCCUCAGAGGCUUCCUACACACCAAGAAUAAAAUCCAACCUCUUAUAUGAUCUCCAAAUCCCUUGCAUCAUGUCACCCUCCUCUAUCUCCACUCCAUCUGGACUUGAAUAAUCUUGUGCUCCUAUCAGCAUGUUUAGUAUGUUACAGUCACAAUGGUCAAUCUUCAGUUCCUCAAAUAAGCAAAGUUCUUUCCGAUAUCAGAGCCUUUUCAUAUACUGUUCCCUCUUGAUGGAACAGCUUUCUUCCAUCUUCAUAUGCUAGUUCUUUCAACUUCAGUAUAAAUCUCACCUGCUUAGACAUUCCUCUCACAAACUCACAAUUCCAAAUGUCUUCUCCACCAUCAGUUUUCUCUAUUUGUAUUAUAUGCUUUCAUCAUCGCUCUU
rnacentral:lncRNA from 1 species